rnacentral:misc_RNA from 1 species
ACAAAGAGAUCUAAAAAUCGGGCUCGUUGGCAAGAGCACCGAGGGGCAAGAAAAAACACAGCCGAGGGGGUUGCUGCUGUUUUGGACAAAAGCAGAGAAUGCCGGAUCGACCUCGAACGUCGAGCGACCAGGUCGCUAGGCCGAGGGAUCCGGCGACUCGCGGGGGAAAGAAAAAGGUGUUGGUAGCCUUCCCCGCGCCUUGGGCCGUCGAAGCUUUCCCCAAUUGGUUUUGGGUUGCUCCGUCGCCUUAAGUACAGACGAGCUCGACCGCGACUCCGGGCUUUUAAACGGUGGUGGGUCGCAAAACAAGCACUCGGCAUCGUCGGGAGGUUGGCCUCGACGUUAUAAGCACCCGAGUAUGUACUUUCUCACGUAUACCGAUGGUUUUGUUGAAAAACAACAAAAAAAACCCGGGGACGGGCGGGAGGCAGGCAAGUCCUCACCGUCACUGGGGGUCGGCCGGCGUACCUCGUUGCGCGCCGCGACCGACCGAAUUGGCAUCUAUUUGA